GCUCCGGAGUGGAUCAUGCCGGGGGCAGAGUCCCGUUGACACGUUACGACUCUCGAGGGGGGCGAGGGGUGCGAACAAAAGGAAGAGGGUCGCCGGGUGCUUGUGGUUCGCUUUCUAAACAGUGGUCAAACGAACGUCCGUUUCGAAAUGCAUAAAGGAAAGACAACGAGGCUAUCCCCGCCAUCGAGGCCCCGGGAAACGGUGACUCUGCCUCUUUGGUAUUGUGAAUAGCGGUUUUUAGUAUGAAGAACGACUCUUUGAAACGGAUAUGUCGGCUCUGGAUUCCUGAAAGAAAUCCUGUAAUGCUGUACUGGAUGUGAAUUGCACAAUCCCUUUAACCAUCUAGUGGUUGAAGGCAACUUACGCCCGAAGCCAUCAGGUCGAGGGCACGUCUGCUUGGUCGUCAUGCCUCAUACCCUCUUGGAAUCGCCUUCCCGCUUAUACUAUUCGGAGUGGGUUCUGUGUGGUGCGGUGGGGUAACUAACUCCGGAAGCUUCUUUGAUGAACAGUUUAUCCAAAAACCAAAUCUCAUGUCACGUAGUCUUGCCAACAGGUUUUAAAUCAUAACGGUGCCGCCGCCACGUGCGUCGGACACUCAUCGGGACUCCGACAGACCCCAAUGCGCCCGUCACGGGUGCCUCCAACGCGACCCCAGGUCAGGCGGAGGCUACCCGCUGAGUUUAAGCAUAAA
rnacentral:rRNA from 1 species